GUUCAAAAAAAAAAAAAUUAUCAUCCGGGGUUUGCGCCACACAAGUUUUUUGGUUUUCAAGUGUGACCACAUAAGUUCCUAAGUUUCUGAGGGUAGACAACCAAGAAAGAGAAGAGGGGUUCUUGCACAAUGAAUAAAGAGAGAGUGACCAGGAGAGACGAGGGGUUUCUGGCAAUGUUCACGGCAGUCUCGCCGGCCAUCUACUAUGGUGUAACCAACAAUAACGAAGAUUCUUGAGUUGUAGGUGUAAAUCGGAGGAGCUAAGCGGUGAUGUUGGUGUUUAAUUGAAGAAACCCUAAGCCACAACAACCCAUCAUCUCUAAUCGGAGUUAACAGAAAGUGAUCGACGAGAUUAGGUGUUUUUGUGGCAAGUUCGUGUUCUUGAUAUUCAGCAACAGAGACGAAGGAGACAACCACGCUGACAACAGCGAUGGUUAUCUAGGGUUCCAAAUGUUGGUCGAUGGCGACGAUAGUUCCCGCGAAGACCUAGACGCCGACUCCCGAGAUGGCGAUUGGAACUCCGGCAAGCCACUUACAUGUCGUUAAGAGUACAGAAAACAUAAGGUUCGUAGGUUCGGUCAAGUUUGUUGUGCAUUAUUUUUUUCAUUAAGGUGUUAAAUAUAUGUACCGAUUUUCUGAAUACGUGCUUUUGAGUUGCUUUCGUAGGUGUUGAUUUUGUAUAAAAUCACUCAAAUGUAUAACCUUUAUGUGAAAUUUAUGGUUCCACAAAUGUACACAUGGUUAAUAGUGUUCUCUUGUGCGUUAAUUUGGUUUUGUAACAUUUUACUAAUGUUUUAUUCAAA